rnacentral:rRNA from 1 species
CUCAUAGCGUAUGUUAAGUUGUUGCAGUUAAAACGCUCGUAGUCGGAUUUCGGGGCGGGCUGCUCGGUCUGCCGAUGGGUAUGCACUGGGUGGCGCGUCCUUCCUUCCGGAGACCGCGCCUUCUCUUAACUGAGCGGGCGCGGGAGACGGAACGUUUACUUUGAAAAAAUCAGAGUGUUUCAAGCAGGCAUCUCGCUCUUGCAUGGAUUAGCAUGGGAUAAUGAAAUAGGACUUUGGUGCUAUUUUGUUGGUUUCGAACACCGAAGUAAUGAUUAACAGGGACAGUCAGGGGCACUCGUAUUCCGUCGAGAGAGGUGAAAUUCUCAGACCAACGGAAGACGAACCACUGCGAAAGCAUUUGCCAGGGAUGUUUUCACUGAUCAAGAACGAAAGUUAGGGGAUCGAAGACGAUCAGAUACCGUCGUAGUCUUAACCAUAAACCAUGCCGACUAGGGAUUCGAGGGUGUUCCAUCUGUGACCCCUUGAGCACCUUUCGGGAAACUAAAGUCUUUGGGUUCCGGGGGGAGUAUGGUCGCAAGGCUGAAACUUAAAGGAAUUGACGGAAGGGCACCACCAGGAGUGGAGCCUGCGGCUUAAUUUGACUCAACACGGGGAAACUUACCAGGUCCAGACAUUGUGAGGAUUGACAGAUUGAGAGCUCUUUCUUGAUUCAAUGGGUGGUGGUGCAUGGCCGUUCUUAGUUGGUGGAGUGAUUUGUCUGGU